GAGUUUGAUCCUGGCUCAGAUUGAACGCUGGCGGUAGGCUUAACACAUGCAAGUCGUGCGAGAAAGUAUCUUCGGAUAUGAGUAGAGCGGCGGACGGGUGAGUAACGCGUAGGAAUCUACCUAGUAGAAGGGGAUAGCCCGGGGAAACUCGGAUUAAUACCGUAUACCUCCUUCGGGAGAAAGAAGGCCUCUCAUUGAAGCUUUCGCUACUAGAUGAGCCUGCGUAAGAUUAGCUUGUUGGUGAGGUAAAAGCUCACCAAGGCGACGAUCUUUAGCGGGUCUGAGAGGACGAUCCGCCACAUUGGGACUGAGACACGGCCCAGACUCCUACGGGAGGCAGCAGUGGGGAAUAUUGGACAAUGGGCGCAAGCCUGAUCCAGCCAUACCGCGUGUGUGAAGAAGGCCCUAGGGUUGUAAAGCACUUUAAGUUGGGAAGAAAAGUUAUUGGUUAAUACCCGAUAGCCGUGACAUUACCAUCAGAAUAAGGACCGGCUAAUUCCGUGCCAGCAGCCGCGGUAAUACGGAAGGUCCAAGCGUUAAUCGGAAUUACUGGGCGUAAAGCGCGCGUAGGUGGUUUAUUAAGUUGGAUGU
rnacentral:rRNA from 1 species